GACAGUUCAAUGUGCUUCAAGUUACAAUUCAAAAGAUAUACUUUCUCGGAGAACAUCAUUAGAUUUACGAACAUUCGUUAAAACAAAUUAAUACUUAAAUAACGGAAUCGACGAAAUAAGAAGACAUAAUGAACGGAACGAAGAUGUGCGAUAUGCAUUCGACGCUGAUGGCCAUAGAUCCAGGUGGUGCUGUAGGAGUGGAUCUGAUCGAUGAUUGUUUGGAAUAUACUUCAAUUUCAUAUCACAGUGUGAUUCUCAUAAAAAAUUGAAGAUGAUAUUGGGCCUUCUUUAUUGGUCCUAACUAACAUGUGACGAAUAGACAACCGUAAACUCUAUGAUGCAGCAAAAAUUCAAUAUUAACAAUUAAAUUCUGUCGCUCACUGAUAAUAAACCGUUCGAAAAACUCAUUCACAUUGGUCUGAAAUAAACUCAAUUUAUCACGAAUUUGUAAA